AUUGAACGCUGGCGGCAGGCCUAACACAUGCAAGUCGAGCGGAUGAAGGGAGCUUGCUCCUGGAUUCAGCGGCGGACGGGUGAGUAAUGCCUAGGAAUCUGCCUGGUAGUGGGGGAUAACGUCCGGAAACGGGCGCUAAUACCGCAUACGUCCUGAGGGAGAAAGUGGGGGAUCUUCGGACCUCACGCUAUCAGAUGAGCCUAGGUCGGAUUAGCUAGUUGGUGGGGUAAAGGCCUACCAAGGCGACGAUCCGUAACUGGUCUGAGAGGAUGAUCAGUCACACUGGAACUGAGACACGGUCCAGACUCCUACGGGAGGCAGCAGUGGGGAAUAUUGGACAAUGGGCGAAAGCCUGAUCCAGCCAUGCCGCGUGUGUGAAGAAGGUCUUCGGAUUGUAAAACACUUUAAGUUGGGAGGAAGGGCAGUAAGUUAAUACCUUGCUGUUUUGACGUUACCAACAGAAUAAGCACCGGCUAACUUCGUG
rnacentral:rRNA from 1 species